rnacentral:lncRNA from 1 species
AUUAACUUUUAAGUUAAAGAACUCUCUUUGCAGAUAAAUGAACAUUGGUCGGUUCUUUAACCUUUCCUAGAUUUCGACUGUCGCAUGUCACCAUACGCCACCACCAGCCACAGGCCUGCGACACCGAUUGGCCUCCAAAUUUCACCAGUAAGUUUAUCUCAGUCUCCUUUUUAACAUGAUCUAGUUGGUUUUCUCAAAGACUUGCUAGAUUUUUGUGGAUCCGAGAUCAAAGUUUUCUCUCUCUUUUCUGACUCUCUGAUGGUCGCUGUUUUAAGGUAUGUUGUUCUUCUUCGAUGGAUGAGGCUUUCUCUUCCUUUUUGAAGUUAUUAUUGUUGUGUUGGUUGUUGUAUCUAUCUAUUCUUCUUUGUAGGUAUGUAUUCGAUGAUCUAGGAGAGCUUGAUUCGUGUUAGUUUGGCUGUUGAGUUGGUGAUGAUUUUUUUUUGUGGCAAGGGUUGGGUAUGGUAGUUCUUGGUAGUGACUAUAGGGGUGGUAGUUGGUAAUAGGUGUGGAGGCUUAGUGACAAGAAUUUGCUAGAAAGUUAACUGAUGGGUGGUAAUCUUGCUUGGUUUUCCCUCUAUUUGUUCCUUUUACCCCCAGAUGAACAACAACCCGAUUUUUACAAAACUAACUUUUCACUUGAGUUUCUAGCAACUUUCAUAAAUUUGAAAAACCCACUUCAUUAUUCACAUGAAUUUGAAAGAAUGAAUUUUUAAAAUAUAAAAUCAAAGUAAAGAAAAAGAUUAUGUAAAGAUUUGCAACUAGGAUUUGUCCUCAUCUUUCUCUCAGUUUUCCAUUAUCACCGUUAUUGAUCUCUCUUCUUUGCUUGCUGUCUUGCUUGUCUGGUUCCUUUCUAGUUUAUCUCCUGUUCUUUUUUGUUGUGCAAAUGAUAAUAUCUAUUAAUAGCUUUAUAUUUUUAAACUGUGUUUGAAGCUUUAAAAUGGACAUUCCUUUGGCUAACUUAAUUGAUGAAGAAUAUUAUGAUUAAGAAAUUUAUGAAAUUUAUGAAAUUUUAGGGUUAAGAAAACUUGAAAAAAAAUGAGAUUUGUUUGAAAAGAGAGAAUAUUAGUAAAAAAUAAGCAAAAAGCAAAAAAUUUUUAAAAAUUGAAUAAUAUACGUAAUUUUUAUCUAUUAAUAUUUUUUUUUAACUUAAUGGCAUUUGUGUUUCACUGUUUUUUUUUUUUUUGUUUUAAAAAAAUCUUACAUUUUUAUAAAUUGAUAACGUUUAAUCCCCGUUUGUGUAAAUUAAAACGUUUAAUCCUAAAUUGAGCAUCCACCUAAACUUCUAAUCUUAAAUUGAGCAUUUAGCCUGCCUUGUAUUUUUUUUCUUCUAUCAUAAUGCCGAUCGGUGAAAGGUUAGUCUCCUUAGAUUGUAGCUUUUUCACCAUAGUUAAACUAUCACCCUCUAAUAUUGCUUUUCUAAACCCUAACUCCAAUGCAAAUGUGAGAGCUUUUACUAUUAUCCUUGCUUCUAGUUGAAAAACAUCUAUUGCAAACAUCAUUCUUUUUGUGGUAGUUCUCAACACAACCUCCAUUCUGUCUCUAAUAAUGACUUUUAUCCCUCUUAUUUUUUGUUGGUUGUUGUAUGCACCAUCGAAGUUGACUUUCACUUUUUUUGGAUUUGGAGGUCUCUAUCCUUUCACCAAUGUACUAGCCUAUGUAUCUGUGAUUAGGUUAGUUAUAUUCCACAAUAGAGUUUGUUAUAAAUCUCACUAGCUCAUGCAUACUUUUUUUGGUCUCUCCAUGUAGAUUUUUAUUUCACACAACCUAUAUACUUCACGCAAUGGUCAUAAAAACCUACAGUUGUUCAUAUGUGACAAUAUUACAUAUAUUUUUGAUCCACUUCUUCAUAUUUGUCAAAUUACUUUCCAUCCCAUAUUCAAACUAUAACAACCUCUAUACAUCAUUUAUCUUUGGACACUUUUUUAGUGUAUGGAAAACUAACUCCUCUUCCUUUCUACACCUAGAACAAAUUACAUUAACAUCAAGUUCUUUCUUAUGAAGAUUUUGCAUUGUGGGUAGAAUACCAUAGUAGUCACACUAGACAAAGGCUUUUAUCUUGUUUAGCACAUUUGUGGCCUAAAUCCUUAUCCAUAAACUUUGGCUGUUCUCUUCCUCAUGUUUCCAAUUAGGGUUGUUUUCCUCUUCCUCGGUACAUAGUAGCUUAUACUUGUUUCAUAUAGUAUAUAUUCCUUUAUUAUCAUAAUGCCAUACUUGCAUGUCUAGUCACCCCACAUUGCUUACAAGGAUUGCAUAAAUGGCUCUUACAUCAUUCUCGUUAAACAUGUUGUGAAUGACAUCAAGUUUUCAAAUCUUUGUGGUUGAGUUUAUAAGCUUUGCCACCAUACAUUCUUUAUCAACAUUGCCCUUUAGUUCUUAUGGCAUGAAAAUGCUUAAAGUUGGUAUCCAUUUGUCCUGUUAGACUCUAAUACUUAUCCUAAUGCCAACUCACCAAUGAAGUUAUUUUCCAACUAGGCCUUUCACAAACCAUAAACUUCUCCAUGUGAGGGAGGGUUUGCUUUUAAGGCUUGCAUCCACGUAUGCAUAGUUUGGGAAAUACCAUGCUUUCAGCACCUACGUUACAAGUUUAUCUAGCUAAGUUUGGAGUCUUCAUCCUUAAUUACCCAACAUUACUUUGUUGAAGUUUUUCAUCUCGUUAAACCUCAUUCUUCUUUUAUCUUUAGUCAACAUAAAUAUCUUUAUUUUAGCUAGUGUGUUCUUUUUGUUUCUCCAUCAAUUUUUCACCAGUAGCUGCUAAUUAUGCUAUUGACCCUUUUACAAAAAACUUUGCAUCGAAAAACUACUUAUAGCAUAUGAGGGAUUACUUGGAAAAUUGAUUUUAUGAAAACUUCCUUUCCACCAUACGGUAAGCAUAUGUUUCCCAAGCUUUUAUUUUUCCUUUAACUUUGUCUUUUAUCUUUUAGAAUGCAUUAAAUCAUCUUUUUCCCACUAUAGUAUGUAGAUUAAGGUACUUUUAAAGUUUUGAUAUCGCUUGAAUUCCAAAAAUGUUUUGGAUUUUCUCUUUCUGAUGCCUAUAUAUAUUUUUGCUUAAAAAGAGGGCUAAUUUGUCAAAGUUGAUUUUUUAUUAUAACCACCUUUGUAUACCUCUAGCAUGUGCUUCACUUUUUCACUUUUACUUCUAUUUAUCCUUGUUAAAAGUAAGCUAUCAUCGACAAAAAAUAAGUGAUUGAUCUUAGGUCCUUUUCGAUUGGCUUGGCUUUAUGUAUUACACCAUCUCGUUUGUCUCUGUCAAGUAUGGUUGAUAGUCUUUUACUGUAGAUAAAAAACAAAUAAGGGGACAAUGGGUCUUCUUGUCUGAGGUAUCUCUCUAGGUAAAAUUUGUUAGUAAUACAACCAUUUAUGACAAUAGAAUAUGAUACAUAUGAUAUAUAACUCAUGAUUAGAAAUAUCCAUCCAUUAUGGAAGCCUAGUUUUUCCAUCAUAGCAUGCAAAAAAUGCCAUUCUACUAUAUCAUAUGUCUUUCUUGUAUCGAGUUUUAGGGCAAAAGAGCUUGUUCUACUUGUUCUCUUAUUUUUCAAGUAGUGCAACAAUUCAUAAGCCAUAAUUACAUUGUUAGUUAUCAAUCUUUUUGGGACAAACACAUUUUGUGAUUCACAAAUACACUUGAGUAAUACAAUUUUAGCCUGUUUGAUAGCACUUUAAUAAUAAUCUUAUACAGUACACAGACUAAUUGAUCUAAAUUGGGUGAUGUGCUAUGGUUCUUUGGUUUUUGGGAUUAGAAUAAUGUUUGUGUGAUUUACUUCCUUUACUUUACCCUUCAUAUUCAAAAAUUGUAAACAAAACUUAACAACAUUAUUACCAAUAAUAUGCUAGUAUUUUUUAUAGAACAAAGUAGGCAUACUAUUUGGACUUGGCAUUUUCUAUUGGAUGCAUUUGUUUUGAUACUUUAACUAGUUUCUCAUUUUUAAAUUUAGCAAUAAGAAGUUCAUUCAUAUCUCUGGUAACCCGUUCCUCAUCAUCUCUAUAAUUUUAUCCAAGUUGUUGCACCUCUAAGACUGGAAAAACUGUUUAAAGUAGCUUGUAGCAAUAUUCUAUACCAUUUCCUCAUAUUCACACCAUACCCUAUUACUAUAUUCAAAACCAAGUAUGGUAUUGUGUCUCUUUCAUUGGGUUGCCUUGGUAUGAAAAAAAGUAGUGUUUCGAUCUCAAUCUCUAAACCAAUCAACAUAUGAAUGUUGGGCUAAAAAAUUUUUUUCCUUAUCCAUCAUUUCACUGAGCUCCCUUUUAAUGUUUCUGGCGUUCUAAAUGCUUUCAUCAUUGACUGGUUAGUCACCUACUUAUUGUAAUGUUCUUUGUAGCAUAUUAAUUUUAGCUUGCAUGUUCAUGUAUUUCGUGUCAUGCCAUACUUUAAGGUUUUUGUUGGUAUCCUCUAUCUUCUGUAACAUAUAUCAUUGGUUGACAUUGUUCCACGUUAAUAGGAUUUUUUGCUGACAUUCAUAGUUUUUGGCUUGUAUUGCCUCAAAAUGGAAUAUGCUUAUUCUUUUUUUAGUUUUCCCUUCGGUUUGUUUCCUAUAGUGUUGAGUAGAAUAGGCUUGUGGUUUAACAUUGAUGCUGUUGGAUGGAAUAAUACAAAUAGUGGGAACCUUUCCCACCAUCCUAGGUUUGCCACCUUUUUAGCAAGUUUUUCUCUUACAUUGGAUGUGCUAUUGUUGCUUUUUCUUUAUGUAAAUCAGGUGCCAUGAAAAUUGAGAUCAUUAAGGUUAGCCUCUGUUAGUGCAUCAUUGAACUCUUCCAUUUCUAUUUCUCAUCUUGUCCUCUCUCUAGCUUUUUCAUGUGACCAUAUAAUCUUAUUGAAAUCACCAAUGCAUAGCCAUUGUUUAUUGGAUUGGGUUGCUAAAUUCCUCAGCAAGUUUCAUAACACCUCUCUCAUUUGCACAUCAGCCUCCCCAUAAAAACUUGUUAUACGCCAAUCAUGCUCAUCAUCCUUUCCCUUUACAUUCAUAUCUAUAUGAUUCUUGGAAUAGCUAACUACUUUUAAGUUGGUGUUUUCUUUCUACAUCAUUGUCGAUCUUUCAUUUUUACCAUCAGAAUUCACCCUAAAAUAAUCUCUCAUACAUUUUGCAUUUUAUUUUGUCUAACUUAUUUACAUGUAGUUUUGUCUCACUUAAAAAUACUACAUGAAUGUCUUUUUUCUUCAGCAAUUGUCAAAUGACAUGAACUAUUCAUGGGUUCCCAAGCCUACGAUAAUUCCAUGUUAGGCACUUUAUAGUGUCUGACAGGAUUAGCAUUCAGUCAUCGUUGUUUCAAUUAUUUCCUCAUGGUUAAAAGCUUUAUCAUUAUUUGGAUGUUUAAUUUAUGGUUUCCUAUCCUGUUUCCCUUAUUUACGUUUACUCCACCAUCUGCAUACUUUUUUUCCCUAGUGCCACUAUGUCUCUUGUUAGAGUUCUACUCGCAGUGCUUGCUUGUUUUUUUAGCAACUUUUACCUCUUAUCCUUAUUUGUUUUCUCUUUUUUAUUUGUAUGCCUAGCUGUGUUUGCAUGGUUCGAGGUUUUGGCUUCUAUAUCUCCCUAACCCAUCUACAUUAACUAGGACCCAAUAAUUAUAUGGUCUAUACAACUUAUCACUUCAUCAUUUUUUUCUUACAUCAUUUGACCUAUUACUUUGACUUAUUUUGCAUGUGUCAAUUUUUUGUUCAAAGAUAACAGAUCAUAAUGAUUUUAAAUUCUUUCCCUCUUUUUCUACUAGAAUUACUAGUGGAUUGAUCCUUAAAAUCUCUUAAGAAUUCUCCUUCUAGUUAUUCCUCUAAUUCUUCUUUUAUCAAUGCUAAUUUCCAUGUCCAUUUUUUUUGCUAAAAAACACAAUAACAACUACCUUCUGUUUCGAGAAUGAUUGCUAACCCUAGUGUCUCCUUCUUCCCUUCCAUCCAUUUCUGCCACUCUUCACCAUUUUUCAACUUUGUCCACCUUUUUUGUCUUAGUAUUCCUUUAUGUUGAGCCUUGAAAUGAUCUUCUGGCUUGGUAUCAUGUGCUGAUCCCAAAAGUUCUAACAUUCUUUUUAACAGGUGAUAUGUGUAGUUAUUCGCCAUAUUGUCUUUUCAUUUCAGUUCCUGGUUCUAACUCAUCAGUCUUAUUGCACUUCGACUCUAUGUGGCCAAGUAGACUGCAUGUGUAGUAUAGUUUUAAAAAUCUCUCAUAUUUGAAGUGGCCCUAUAUUAGAACCUUUUUUUUCUAAGUUAGGAUUACACAUCUUCUUAGGGGUUUUCUGACAUCGAUCUUCACUUUGAUCCUAAAAAAAUUUCCUAACCAAAAUAAUCCUUGUUUAUGUCAAUGUUUUUCAAUUCUUCAAUCUUUUGACCUAUACACUCUAUUUCUUUCUUGAUCAUCCAUUUCAUUGGUAGAUCGUACACUUUGACCCAAAAUGUUAUUUAGUUGAACUUGUAUUCAAAUGGUCUUAAAUCUCCAUCGUAUUCACGGAAUAACAAUAGAUGUUUGUUUAAGGACCAUGGCAUCUAUCUAGAAAUCUUGUUUUGUCUUUCUUUAUCCUAAACUUAAACAAGAAGAGAUUUAUGUUUAAUAUGUUGAUGUGUAGUUCCCUUGCCAACAUCCACAUUACAUUAAAGGUUCCUAGCAUUACCUCUCUGUUAAAAUGAUUACUAGAGAAAAGCUUUCUUAUCAGCCAUUUUUCCUCAUCCGAUAUCCCCUGACUCACUUGCUCAAUUAUUAUAUUUACUCGAUCUUUAUUUUCUUCUAUUAGGGAGAGGCUUCUCCACACUUUCUAUAGGUCUUAUGCCAUCAGAUAACUACUUGCCACUAGUUUUUGGGGCUAAUAUACUUUUUUACUGAUGUUGACACUGAAAUACUCUUAUCAAAACUCACAAAAACUAUGAAACUAUGAAACUAGAAAAUUGAACUCCUCCUAUAAAGAUACCCUAAUGAUAUUCUCACAAGUUGUUAUUACUCCAAAUAUUUUUCAUUGAUAUCAACCAUGGCAACGCAUUGUUCUUACUGUAUUAAGCUAGCAUGGACUGACCUAUAUUGCAUUUGUGUGUGUGUAUGUGUGUAUAUAUAUAUAUAUAUUACGAUUUGUAAACUCAAACAAAAAAAUUUUUUAAAAAGUGUUUUUUGCAGAAAUGUUAAUCUUACCCAAAUUUGAUGAAAAUUUUGAUUUUUUACCCUAAUGAGGAUGGGGAUGGGUAUUAAAUUUUGAUAUGGAGACGGAGAUGUGUACAAUUUAAAUUUUUUAUUGGGUUUGAGUAUAAGGAUAGGUAAUAUAGCAUUCACUCAUACCUGUACCCUACAUAUUUAUAUAUAUAUAUUUAAUAAAUUAUUUUUUAUUUAAUAAUAUAAAUUUUAUUUUAGAUUUAUUAGAACUAAUAUAUUUGUAUUUAUUAAGAUUAUUGAAAUUAAUCCUAACUUUCCUAUUCCAAAUAGUUAGAAAUUAUGAAACUGAUCCUUUGACUUGAUUUAAUUUGAUUACUCUUUAUUUUCCUUUAUUUGUUUUUCCUUAGAUAGAUACUUUCAUAUAAUUAGAGUUUGGUCCUCUUGUCUAUAUCUUUUCUAGCUCUCUUGUAAAUAAAACAAGAAAGAAGCUACAUAAACUUUUUACAUAGUAUCAGAGUCGUUCUUAUAGUUUUUUUGUCUUAUUUUUUAUGGCCUUAAUUGCCCUAUACCUUUUUUCCUUCUUUUGCCUUCAUUGUAAUCUCUCCCUUCCCCAAAAAACAAAAAAAAUAUUAUCCUAAAGAUGUCAACAACCUCAAUUACCUCUUUACCUAAUAUGCCAUUUGUGGCAAUAGGUGAACCUACUACUGUUUCGUUGUCCAAUGUGAAUGAUCAUCACUUGUUGAUUUAAAUAAUGAACAAUAGAGUAUGAACCCUUCUUAUCGAUUUGAUGGAAUGAAUUACCUAUAAUGAAGAUAGAUUGUUCGAACCUUCCUUAAGGGGUUAGGGAAGAUAGAUUACUUGACUAAUGAUGGCCCAAGCCUUGAAGACCUAGGCUUUAAUACGUGGGUGCAGAAGAUUCUAUGAUUAUGUCAUGGUUAUGAAACUUUAUGAAACUAGUGAUUAGUUGAAAUGUGAUGUUUUUUUCCACUGUAUGAGCCAUAUGGGAGACAUUACAAUAGACCUAUUUUAAGAAAAAGGAUAUUGCACUAGUCUAUGAGUUAAAGGUGCUAGUUGCUUCCACUAAACAAAAAAACAUAUUCACUGACUACUACAAUAAGAUGAUAGGUUAUGGCUAGAAAAUGAUCACUACUAUGACUUAAAGAUAAAAAAUAGUAAAGAUAAUAAGAUCUUUUAAGAGUUUUUGGAGCAUGAUAGAGUGUUUGAAUUCCUAACAAGAUUGAAUACUGAGUAUUAUCAAAUUAGAGUGAAGACUCUUGGUAAGGACCUAGUCGUAGCACUUUGUGAAAAAUUUUUCAUUAUUCAGGCUGAAAAGAGUCGAUGAAUAGUUAUGCUAGAACCCUAUACAUCUGAAGUUACUACUAAUGUAUCUCAAAAGAUUAGAGACAAAAAAAAUAAAUAAACUAAGCCAAGUGACAGUACUCGACAAGACUUGAAAAAACAAUCUAAUAGAGAUGGGUUAUAGUGUUCGUACUAUAACAAAUCACGCCAUACUCGAUAUACUUGCUUUAAACUACAUAGUAAGGCAAAAAUUUUAACUCGAACUGGGGGGUUUAAGGGUUAUACAUAAGGGUAAGCCAACUUUACCAACAAGGAAGAGACAAAUAUGAAAACAACUCUCAAAACAAAGAAGAGUCCAAGAAAUUUAAUUGGAAAGAGAUGGAAAAGCUGAGGUGAUUUUUGGAAUCAUUGGCAAAAUCAUUAGAUUUUUGCUCUCUAGCCCAAGUUGGUAUGUCUUUCAACUGAAACAUCUAAAGCUUCAAGUACUGCACAUUUGAGUUCAUGGGUUGUUGAUUUUGGUGCAUUGAUCACAUGACCUAUAAUGCUAUUAAUUUUUAAUCUUAUAAAUUCACUUUUGGAAAUAAAAAAUUUAAAGUAAUAGAUGGAUCUCCUAUUGUUAUUGCUAGCCAUGGAAGUAAUCACUUAACACCUUUAAUUUCUUUUAAAAAUGCCUUACAUAUCCUUAAAUUAUCUGCUAAUCUCAUUUCCAUUCAUAAAAUUACCAAAAAACUUUGUUGUAAAAUAACCUUUUUCCUUUUUCAUUAUGUCUUCCAAGACCUAGUCUUGGGGAAGAUGAAUGGAUUUGCUAGAGGAUGGGAUGGGUUGUACUAACUUGAAGACUUACAAAGCUAUGGAAUAAAGUACCAACCCACCUCUUACCAACCAUUUUUUUUUUUUUUUGGUUUUUUCAAAUAAAUCUUAAGUUUGGGCAUAUCAUCUCUACCUUGGACAUCUUUCUUUUUCUUUUGUUAAAGUCCAUGUUUCUUUCUUUGUUUGAAAAUGUUUCUAUUAUUGAUUUUCAUAGUGAUGUUUGUCAAGUUGCAAAACAUCAUUUUGUUUAUUUUCUUGCAAAAUCAAUAAAGAGCAAUAAAACUUUCCUUCUAAUCCACUCUAAUUUUAGGGUCUUUAAAAAAUUCCUAAUAUUAAUAAGGCAUGAUGGUUUGUUUUUUUCUAUUGAUGAUUGCACUCGCACAACUUGGUUGUUUCUUAUGAAAGAAAAAUAAAAACUUAGCACCAUUUUUUCUCAAUUCCAUAAAAUGAUUUCUACACUAUUUAAGGAGCAAAUCAAUAGAUUCAAUUUGACAUUGUCAGAGAUUAUUUUAAUCAAAUUCUUUUUUUAUUUUUCAAAAAUAGGGCAUCAUUCAUGAGUCAUCUUGUGUUGACACACCUUAACAAAAUGAGGUUGCUGAGCAAAAAAAUUACCACCUUUUAAAAGUAACUCAUUCAUUGUUAUUCUAGUCAAAUGUCCCAAAAUUUUUUUUUUUUUUGGGUGAGGUGGUCUUUAUAGCUUCUCAUCUCAUUAAUUGACUUCCUUCAAAAGUUUUGAAAAAUAAAAGCCUCUUGUCUACCUUAUUCAAGAAUUUUCUUGAUUUUGUCUCCCAUCAAAGUCUUUUUUCAAAAAUUUUUAAUUGCAUAGCCUAUUUAGCCAUGCACAAAACCAAUUGGUCUAAGUUAGAUCCUCGUGUAAAAAAAAAAAAAAUUUUCAUUGGCUACUCCUCCACUCAAAAGGGACACGAAUGUUAUGAUCCUUCUACCCUUUGAAUCUUUAUAUCCAUGGAUGUUACAUUCUAAGAAAGUGAACCAUUCUAUAAGCCUCAUUCUACUUAUCUUUAAAGUGAGAACAAGGUUAAAAAAGAUGUGUGCUCAGGUUCUUCAUAUUUUUUGGAAAGUUUCUCAUAACCUUUUUUUUUUAUGAAAAUUAAAAUGUCAAACCUAUAGUAGCUACUUAAAACAAUGCAAAUGAGACAAAUCUAGCCUUAGUAGAUAAAAUUGAGACCAUUCUAGUAGAAGUUCCAACCUUAACAGAUGAAAUUGAUACCAUUCUUGUAAAAGGUUCAAAUCUACAAACCAUUAAACCUAGUAUGGAUCCAAAAAAAACUAAUUUUCAAUAGCUUUUUUGAAGCAACUACAAUAAUAUUCAAGGAGAGUAAAGUCUUCACAAGUAUUAAAACAGAUCCAUGAGCCUAACUCGAGCAUAGGUAAUAACGGCUCUUUAAAUAUACCUGUUUUUGAAGCUAAUGAUUUUAUUUCAUGUGAUAACUAGCCUAUCCUAGAGAUUGACCUUGACUUUCUUAUAGCUUUGAAAAAAAAAAGAGACAAAAGUGCACCCAACACCCCAUAUCCAACUUUAUUUCCUCACAUCAUCUCUCUACACAACACAAAAGCUUUCUCUCCACUUUGAACUUAUUUAAAAUUCUAAAAACAAUACAAGAAGCUUUAGGAGACAAAAAUUAGAGAUGUGCGAUAAGGAAAGAGAUGAGGGCUUUGAAAAAGAAUAAAACUUAGUACAUUGUCUCACGUCCCAAAGGCAAUAGAGCAGUUGGUUGCCAGUGGGUUUAUACAAUAAAGUUUAAAGUAGAUGAAACUCUUAAAGGUAUAAAGUAAGGUUAGUUGCGAAAGGCUAUAUGUAGACCUAUGGGGUAGGUUACCCAGAGACUUUUGCUCCAUUAGCAAAGAUGAAUACAGUAAGAAUUCUAUUAUCCCUUUAUGUUCAUUUUAAAUCGAAAAUUUAACAAUUAGAAAUGAAAAAUGCAUUUUUCCAUGAAACUUUGGAAAAAGUAUACAUAGAACCCCCACUAGGAUUUAAUGAAAAGUUUAGUCCUAAUAAAGUUUGUAAGUUAAAAAAGACUUUGUAUGGGUUAAAACAAUCACUAAGGGUGUGGUUUGAAAGGUUUACUAAAGCAAUGGUGAGAUUUUGCUAUAGACCAUAUCAAGGUGAUCACACUUUAUUUAUCAAACACUUGAAUAAAGAGAAAAUUACUGUGCUUUUAGUGUAUGCUGAUGACAUUGUUGUUAUUGGGAAUGAUGAAAAGGAUUAGUAAAGACUGAAAACCUAACUGGCUUAAAAGUUCAAAAUAAAAAAGUUGGGUAAACUCAAGUACUUUUUUGGGAUUAAAGUGGCAUAUUCCAAAUGGUAGACAUAUUGUUUGAACGAAAAUAUGUACUAGACUUGCUAAAAGAAACAUGCACUUUAGGGAGUAAAGCUUCAAGUAUUUCUAUUGAUCCAAAUCACAGGCUAGGUUGAGAAAACAAAAAGGGAGCAAUUUGAUAAAGGGUGCUACAAAAAGUUGGUUGGCAGAUUAACCUAUCUUUCACAUAUUCGGCAUAUCAUGGCUUAUGUAGUGAGUGUGGUCAGUUAGUUUAUGCAUGAUCCAAAAGAGGAUAAUCUAUAGGUGGUUUACAAAAUUCUACAAUAUUUGAAAGGUACUCUUAAAAUAGGAAUUCUAUUUAAAAAAAAGAAUAAGUUGCAAGUUGAGGCAUAUAUUAAUGUAGAUUAUGCAAGAUCUCUAAUAGAUAGGAGGUCUACAUUUGGCUAUUAUACUUUUAUAGUUAGAAAUUUAGUUAUUUGGAGGAGUAAAAAGCAAUGUGUUAUAGUGAUGUCAAGUACUAAAGCAGAAUUUUGAGACAUGGUAUAUGGAAUUUGCAAGCUUUGUGGCUUAAGAUUAUUCUAAAAGGCUUUAGAAUAAAAGUAGAUGGACUUAUGAGAUUGUUUUGUGACAACAAAUCAGUUAUUAACAAAGCUCAUAACCCUGUUCAACAUAACCGCACCAAGCACAUUAAGGUUAAUAGACAUGUUAUGAAAGAAAAGUUAGAUAGUGGACUCAUCGUAACUCCUUAUAUACAAUCAGGAAAUCAACUAGUAGAUGUACUGACUAAAGGGAAUAGAUGAUAUUCACUCACUAGUUGAGGGGGAGUGUUAAGAUUUCUAAAAUUAAUCAUAAGUUUCCCAUACCAAAUAGCUAGAAAUUAGGAAACUGAUCCUUUAACUUGAUUUGAUUUAAUUGCCCUUUAUUUUCCUUUAUUUUUUUUCUUUAGAUAAAUACUUUCUGUAAUCAGAGUUUUGUCUUCUUAUCUAUAUAUUUAUGGAUUUCUUGUAAAUAAAACAAGAAGAAAUUUACCUAGAAUAUUGAUAGUAUUUAAAACAUAAGUAUUCAUAAAAAAAAUUUAAAUAUGCAAGAUAAAAACAAAAACUAAAAAAAUAAUUUUUUUUUUGAAAAGUCAUGGAUACAGGGAUUACGCAUACCCAUUAAAUAUUCACGGGGAUGGAAAUGUGGGUGAAUUUAAAAUACUCGUAUAUGUACAAAGAUGUGUAUAAUAUAAAAAAUCGGGGUGGGUAAUGCUCUACUUGUCCCAACCGUAUCCAUUGGCAUUCCUAUUUUUGUGGUCAUUGUAAUUUUUAUUAGUAAAAUGAUUUUAUUAUCCUCAUGUUUCUAAAUUUUUAUUAUUUAAACAUAUAUUUUUAGACAUUUUAAUUUAUGAUCAUAAAACUUUUGUUUUUUUACAAUAAUGUUAAACAUUUAAAAUUCUUAAAUUAUAUUUUUCUUACUAAACUUUUAAACAUAAUUUUUUCUAACUCGUUUUGUUUUCAAUUACAAUAAUAAUACUACAACAGGCCUUGAUUUGCUCGGUGGUCACUUUUUUUUUGCUUUCUUUAGCAUUAUUGCAUUUUUUUUAUCAAUUGAACAAAAUCUUAAUUUGUUAGCAAAUCAAGAAAAACUUAGAUAAAGUUUUUUAGUUGAAAUUCAUGAAGUUCUUUGUCAUGACGCAUGGGCCCAACAACCCAGCCGCAAGACUUGAGGAAUGAAAAAAUGUGGGCUAAAAAGCAUUUUCAAUAAAAACUAAAAUAAUGAGUUGUCACCAAUCUUUUUUAAGGUGUAAUUAACCACCUAAAAAUUAUAUUUUUAAUAAAAGAUUUAAAACAGGUUCAAAGUUUAUCAAAAGAACAUUUUACAGUCUGUGAAAAUCAAAAUUGGGUUUAGGAUUUAAUUACUCAUGAGGAAGGAUUAACAUCCUCGUAGUGUCCGUCGAAGAUGAUACUAAUUAAUUAUAUGUUGUCCUUAGAUUUUUAUAAAAAUAGUCCCUCUUUAAUGUUUAGAAAUUAAUUCUUUUUCUUCAUUUGUUUAUUCCAAAAACUGAAUCUUUUUUUUUUGAAAACAAAUCAUUUCUAAUUUUUCUUUGAAAAUAAAAAUAAUUUAUUUUUGGAUCAAAAUGAAAAAGUUUUAAGUAUCAGGAUAUUUUUUUCACUCUUCUAUAUUUAAGUAGAGUUUCAAAAAUAUAUUUAACUUAAUAGUUUUUAGAUUGCCCUUCAAAACCAAGAUGAUAUCUUGCAUAAAUAAUAAUCAUUAGGAGUCUUUCUAUAUUUAGGCUAGAUCUCAAAGACUAUAUUUACUGGAGAUAUUAUCUUAUUUUCAAAACAUUUUUUCUUUAAAAAAAAAACUUAUAAAAUAUAUACAUAGCAUGUAUGAACAUAGUAACAAUAUAUGAUGAAUGCAAAACAAUUAAACAUGAAUGACAAAGUAUAAAUGUAUAACAAUUUAAGAAUGCAUGUAACAAAAAAGUAAAAUGAGAUGCAAAAGGGAAAGUUUAGAGUUUAGGUUGAGAGUUACGAAGUAUGGUUUAAGAUUUGGAGUUUAGUUUAGAGUUUCAUAAAAAAUGUAUGUGACAAAAAUUACAAGAAUGCUGUCAAUGAAAAAUGCAAACUUUGAUUAUGUAACAAAAUUACUAAAAUACCAUUGAUAAAAAUGUAAACUUUGAUACAUGGGAACAAUGUAUCAAAAAUUACCAAAAUGCAAUUAAUGAAAAUGUAAACUUUAAUGUAUGGACCAUGUAUGAAAAUAAACUUAUUACAAACCUAGACAUACUUGAAAAUAUAUUACAAAUUAAAUAUGCAUGCAACAUUAUAGUAAAAAUGGAUCAAAAACUAAAGGUUUUUAAAAAUUUAAAGACAUAUUCCAUUAUUUUUUUUUAUUUUGAAAUUCAUUUCAACAAACUAAAAUCACCAAAAACUCUACUAAUCUAGCAUUUUUGUUCAUGGGGAAUUUCAUCGAACAUAUAAAAAUAUUGAAAAAAAAACCAAAAACACAAGCAAAUAAAUAUAACAUGAGCAACCUUUUGCCAUUUUUACAAAAGGGGAGGUUCGACCAAGCAUUAUGGGAACUUGGCCAAAUGCUCCCAUUGUCAUUUCUAUCAUCAUGCAAUCUUAUUUAGCUUAGAAAAAUGUAUUUAGCAUUUAUAGAACUAAAAGAUAAAGAUAUUUUUAUUAUAAAGAAAAUUUUAUCAAACAUAUAGUAAACUACUAAAAGAAGAAACUAUAACAAUAUAAGCAUAAACCUAACACCAAAUGCAAACUUACUGAAACAAAUAACAAUCAUGCAUAUAACACAUAAUAUAGCAUUAAACACUUCAACAAACAUUAUUUAAAGCAAGAUAAGCAUGAAAAACAAACUAGGAAAGGUUCGGCCAUAGGAGGAAUGGAAGUUGGUCAAAUCUUUCAUGUACAUUUUAAUGGUAUAUUUGUUUAAUUUUGCUUGAUCUCUUUUGUUUCAAAUACAAUUAUUAUUUUAAUUGGAUGAAACUUUGAUUUAAGCUUAGAUUUAAAUAUGAACAACUAUAGAUUUUCUCAAGAAACAAAAAUGUUAAUGGAAAGAUAAUUAAAAUAAUAUGCAAAUGCAACGAAAUAUGAUGAAAUGUAAUGUAAGAAAAAAAAAUUAAUGAAGAUUAUACCUUCAAGCAAGCUUUCAAAGUUAUUAUUAUUAUUAUUAUUAUUUGCUAUUUUCUCCUAUUUUUCAUGUCACCUAGUUGCCUACUCCUUAUCCAAACCCUUAAGAAUAAAUAAAUAUCCUAUGCAAAAUCAUGCAAGCCCUCAAAUGAAAAUUUCAUCCAAUGGUCAUCUUUUCUACUUUAUUUUCUUUGCAAUGAAUCACUUUUCACCAUUUGAUUUAGUCUUUAAAGAUUAUCCCAUGGUUUAGCAUGUUCAUGGACAAAGAUUACAAUUUUAAUACUACUAAAAAUAUGUGAAAGGAUCAUUUUUACCCCUUAAAAAGUUUCAAUUAUUUUUAUGUAAUUUUCUUGGAAAAUCUUGAUUCGUUCUUUAUUUUUUUUUUAUUUUAAAGCACACAAAAUCCUAGAAUAAUAUGAAAUUAAGAUAUGAAAGUUUACAUGAAAAACCGACCUUAAGAAGGUUAAAUUACGACAUUACCCAUUAAGGGUAUUUUAGUAAUUUUUUACCUUUCAAGGUGUGAUCAAGGUUUUGAAUGCAUUAAAAAUCAUAAUAUAAUAUGAAAACAGGAUUUGGAGCAUUUUGCGAACAACUGACCUUGUAAAAGUCAAAUUAUGUAAAUAUCCCUAAAGGUAUUUUGAUAAUUUUACACAUUUUAAGGCGUGAUCAAGAUUUUUAAUGUACAAAAAAUCAUGAAAUAAUAUAAAAUGUAAUCUACAGCAUUUAGUGAAAAAUCAACCUUGAGAGGGUUAAAUUAUGAAAAUACCUCUAAAGGUAUUUUCAUAAUUUCACUCCACCUUAGGUGCAAUCAAUGUUUUUGAUGCAUAAAAAUCAUAAAAUAAUAUUUAAAUAUGAUUUGAAAGUUUUUACUAAAAUCUAACUUAAAAAAAAAUUAAAUUACAAAACUACCCUUGAUGAGAUUUUAGUAAUUUUACCAUUCUUGAAGUACAAUCAAAGUUUUUAGUGCUUUAAAAUUUCAAAUAUGAUUUUCAAGGUUGAUUAAUCCCAUUUGGUUUUGAAUUUCGAAAAAUUGACCCUAGUUCAAUCCGAUUUGAUUGAUUUAGAUUGAUUUUGAUCAAAUUGACUUUGUUUGAUCAAGUUUGACCUUAAGGUAUUUGGAUUAAAUUGGUUUCAAAUUUGAAAAAACUUGUCAAAAUUAAAAAAUAUUGGAUUUGAAUCGAAUCAAAUUUUAAGAACCUUACAAUUAGUUGGAUUCGAUUGAGACAAAAUUAAGUGUCUACAUCUUUAAUAUAAAAGAUUUAAUUAAAAAUUUAAUAAAAAAUCUAAAUUGAUAAAUUGAUAGAGUCAAAUGAGAAAGUCACAAAUUUCACUUAAAAAACUUCAUCUAAAUAUUUUUUAUUGUUGCAAUGCAAAUUGUAAAGUAAAUUAUAAUAAUACAAUAAAGAAGAAAAUUUAGGUUUAACUUUAAUCAAGUAUAUCUCUUCUUUUAAAUUCAUCAAGUUGCUGGCAUACUAUCGCUUGUUGCAUGAGGUUUAUUUUCUUGGGGCAAUGCUAUUAGGAAAGUGGGAUCCAACCUCAUGUAAAUGGGUUUGGACUAAUCAAAGGCCAUAAGCCUUGGUCUUUCUUUUUACACAGAGCUCUAGCUACUUAAUAAAAAGAAGUGGGGUUGUUUUAAGGUAAAAAAACGGUGGUGCCAUAAACCAAAAAAAGAAAGAGGGAAAAAGAAACCAAAAAAAUAGAGAGAAAGAGAGAAGGGAGAGUUAGUUGAACUGAAGUCGAUUUGUGAUCCGAUUGAGCUAAAAUUUUAUCAACAUGUUUAUGAUUCAGAGUUUUACAUUUUGAAUGGUGAAUAUCGAGUUUGAAGCUCUCUAAGAACAAAUUCAGGGUGUAUUUGUUAAGUCACCUGGUGAGAUUUCUUCAAUUGUCUCUCUAGUUGUUAAUUAGGUCUAGUUUUAGUUAGAAAAAAAUUUUGUAUAUCCAUUAUUUGAUAGUGAAAAUUUUUUUUGGUGGUCCAUGAGUUUUUCCUUUACAUCAGAGGAUUUUUCACAUAAAUCUUGGUAUGCUUUAUUUUUCUUGCAUUUUUUUAUUAUUGAUUGUUAUCUAUUUUGUGAGUUUAUUGUGAUAUAUUACUUCUGUAUUUUUAUGUUUAUUACUUCAGACUUAACAAGUAGUAUCAAAACGAUGAUUAUUUUAAGAGGUUGAUAUAGAAGUAGCCCAAGAUAGAACUAAAUUCUGUUUAAGAUUAUGAAGGGUGAUGCGAGUUUCAUGAUAAAAUUGAUAGCAUCAAAUUAUUUAAUUUGAAAGCCUAUGAUGGAAGAUCAUUUAUACUAUAAAGAUUUGUUUGAGCUAAUAUUAGGUGAUUUAGCUAAACCAAUAGGUAUGAAAGAUGAAAGCUGAAAGAUGAAAGCUGAAAGCUGAAAGAAGUUAGAUAGAAAGAUGUAGGCUAUAAUAAAAAAAUGGGUUGAUAUCAGUGUGUUUCAUCAUGUAACUUAGGAGACAGAUACCUAUACUGUUUGAAAAAAAUUAACAGCAUUGUAUGAGAGAAAAACUGGUAUAAAUAAAGUUAUGUUUGUUAAAAAUCUUGUAACUUUACAGUAUAGAGAUGGACAAUUGAUUAUAGAGUACUUAAGUAAUUUUUAAAAAAUAUUUAAUUGAAUGACUACUAUGAAGUUUAAGAUGAAAGAUGAAAUGAAGGCUUUAUUUUUUUUAUGUUCAUUGCCAGGCAAUUGAAAUACUUUAGUUGUGACUGUUCUUAAUUUAGCUCCUGAUUACAAGAUGACAUUAGAGAUGGUAAAAGACAAUAUGCUUAAUAAAAAAGCAAGGCAAAAAGAUUUAGACAUUGGGAAUCAAGCUCUGAUAAUAGAGAAUAGGGGUAAAAACAUCGACAGAGGUUAUAACUCAAAAGGCCAUAAUAAGUCUAAACGUAGACCUAACUCUAAAAAUAAAGUGAAGUGUUUCCAUUGUGAUAAAAUAGGUUAUAUAAAACGAUACUGUAAAAUCUUGAAGCAAUAGUGAAAAGAUGAGAAGGACAAAAGUUCAGAUGAUGGUAAUAUUACAGCAGUGAAUUCAGAUAGUGAUUUAGUUACUUUGAAUUUGUACACAUAGUGAUUAUAAUCAUGUUGGUGAUCCCGACAUUGAGUAAAUAGUUGACACAGGAGUGGCAUAUGAUUAUGUUCCUAAGAGAGAGUUAUUUACAACUUAUAAAGUAAAAGAAUUCGGUUGCACUAAGAUGAAAAAUAAGAGUGUGUCACAGAUUGUUAGGAUUGGUGAUAUUAUUAUACAACAUAGUAUGGGCUACAUGUUAACUUUAAGCGAUGUCAGACAUAUUUUAGAUAUGAGAAUGAAUUUAUUUUUAUUAAUGUCCUUGAUAAGGAAAUAUAUGAAAGUAGAGAAAAGAAUGUGUAGUGAAAGCUUUUCAAAGGAUCUUUAGUAGUUGUAAGGAGAAAUUUAUGCUGCAUAAUGUACAAGAUAUGGAUGCAAUUGAAUGGUAACCAAAUAAAUGUCAUAAAGGAUGAUGCUUCAGUAAACUUGUGGCACAAAAGUCUAGCGUACAUGAGUGAAAAGAGGUUAUAGAUUUUGGUAAGGGAGUCUCUCAUUCCCUUGACCAAAGGUAUAUCUCUUUAUUUAUGUUAUCAUUAUUUGUUUGGUAAGCAUCAUAGAGAUUUUUUUCGUAAGAGUUCUUAGAGAAAAAAAAUAUUGGAAUUGAUUUAUUUUGACAUAUGUGGUCUCACUAAGGUUGAGUCAUUAGGUGGUAAUAGGUAUUUUGUUACUUUUAUUGAUUAUGCUUCAUGUAAGACUUAAGUGUAUAUAUUGAAAACCAAAAGUCAUGUAUUAUAGUAUUUUUAGAUAUUUCAUGCCAUGAUGGAAAGGAUGACAGGGCUACCCUUGAAGUGUAUUCAGACUGAUAAUGGUGGGAAAUACACAUCCAAAGACUUUGAAGAAUACUAGUUAAAGCAUGAGAUCAGGCAUGAAAUGAUAGAACCUAAAGCACCACAACAUAAUGGUGUAGCUAAAAUGAUGAAUUGCACAAUUAUGAAACAAGUCAGAUGUAUGUUGAGGAUGAUAAAAUUACCAAACCCAUUUUAGGGUGAAGCAGUCAACAUAGCUUGUUAUUUGCUUAAUAGAUCACCAUCAUUUUUUUUUAGGCUUUGAUAUUUCAGAAAGAGUGUGGAUAGAGAAAGAUGCUUCAUACUCUCACUUAAAAGUUUUUAGGUAUAAAGCAUUCAUCUAUUUACCGAAAGAACAGAGGUCAAAGCUUGACAUAAGCAACACAAUGUGUUUGUAAGAUAUAAUGAUGAGAAAUUUAGUUAUAAAGUCUAGGAUCUAGUGAAGAGAAAAACAAUCGAAAGUAGAAAUGAGAUUUUUCAUGAAAAAAAAAAAUCAUAGCAGACCUCAACAAAAAUGAAAAGACUACACGGAUUACUAUUGAGUGUGAUGUUUCAACGCCGAUAAGAGUUUCACAAGAAAGAGCCAUAGAUGGUGAAAUUAAGCAGGAAACAGAAUUUAAGGAUAUGAAUGAGCCAGUCACAGUUAGUGAUUAGCUAGAUGCAAUCAGUUUUGAGUAAGGGAAGCAAUCUUCUCUACCUAAAAGUGUUGAGCAAAAGAAGCUACCUUCGACAUUAAGUGGUAUGGAGUUUCAGCCUAAAAAAUCUACUAAAGAGCACAGGUUAUCUACCAGGUAUCAAAGUUUAGAUUUUAUUUUAGUUACUAGUAAAGAGAAGCUAGAGAGCUUUUAAGAUGUGUAGGUUACUCUAGAUAAAGAGCACUAGUUAAAAGCAAUGAAACAAGAGAUGGAGUCAUUACGAAAAAAUAGUACAUAUGAUCUUGUUAAACUUUUGAAAUAAAAGAGAUCGUUGAAAAAUAAAUGGGUGUUUAAGUUAAAAAAAAGAUGGUGACAAGCUAGUGAGGUACAAAGCUCAAUUGGUGGUGAAAGGUUUUUAUCAGAAACUAGGCAUCGAUUUUGAUGAGUUCUUCUCUCAAGUUGAGAAGAUGAGUUUCAUUCGAGUGGUACUAGGAUUAGCAGCUAGUUUGAAUCUUAAGCUUGAGCAAUUUAAUGUCAAGAUUGUAUUUUUGUAUGAUAACUUGUAGGAAGACAUUUAUAUGAAUCAGCUUGAGGGUUUUGAAGUGAAAGAGAAAGAGCAAUUAGUUUGCAAAUUGAAAAAAAGCUUGUAUGACUUGAAACAAGCUCUACGACAAUGGUACAAAAGUUAGAUUCUUUUAUGGUGAGCCAUAGCUAUAGAAAAAGAUAGCGAAUUCUUGUGUGUAUGUCAAAAAUUUUUUUGAUGGUAACUUUAUUAUUAUCUUAUUAUAUGUUGAUGAUAUGUUGAUUGUGAGACAAGAUGUUGGUAUAGUUUACAGGUUGAAAGAACAAUUGUUUAAGUUUUUUAACAUGAAAGAUUUAGGUCCAACAAAGCAGAUUCUUGAUAUAGACAUUAUUCAGGAUAAAAGAGUUGAAAAGUUAUGGUUGUCAUAUGAAAAUUAUGUUGAAUGGGUGCUUAAUAGAUUCAAUAUACAACAUGCUAAAUCAAUUAACAGUGCACUUGUCAACCAUUUUUAUUUGAGUAAAAAAUCUUGUUCGGUAACUAAGAAAGAGCUAUUAGCUAUGUUAGUAGUCCUUAUUCUUUUGUAAUUGAUUUUUUUAAUGUAUUUUAUGAUUUGCACAUGGGUUGACAUUGCUUAUGCAAUUGAUGUAGUGAGUAGAUUUUUUUAUAAUCCAAGAAAAGGUUCACUGAAAAGCAUUGAAAUGAAUUUUCAAAUAUUUGAGAGGCACUUAAAAAAUGUGCUUGAGUUAUAGAGUUUCACAACUAGUUUUAAAAGGGUUUACUGAUACUGACAUGGCAGGUGAUCUUGAUGGUAGAAAAUCUACUUUAGGGUAUUUGUUCACUUUUGUAGGAAGAGUAUGUCUUGGCAGUUUAAGUUGUAAAAGUGUAUUGUUUUGUCAACUACAGAGGCUGAGUAUAUUGCAACAACUGAAGCAGGUAAAGAAAUACUUUGAAUGAAAUAUUUUCUUCUUGAAUUGAGGUUGAAUCAAAAAGAGCAUUUGGUGUUUUAUGAUAGCCAAAGUGCUUUAGAUUUGAGUAAGAAUGCCAUGUAUCAUGCUAAAAUGAAACACAUUCAUGUUAUAUAUCACUUGUUACGUUCAAUGAUUGAGAAACAGUAGAUACUGUUGAAAAAAGUUCAUACUAAUGAGUAUGUGAAAAAUAUAUUGACUAAAACACUUCCUAGGGAAAAGCUUGAGCUUUGCACUAACUUAGCCGGAAUGAGUUCCUUGGCCAAGGUAAAUUCUAAAUAAAAUUGUUAUGAUGAUGAAUAACUUUCUAAUGGGAUUAGAGGGAGAGAUUGUUAGAAAAGUAGAGUCCAGCCCCAUGUAAUUAGGUUUGGACUAAUCAAAGGCCAUAAGCCUUAGUCUUUUUUUUUUUUUACAUAGAGCCCUAAUUACUUAAUAAAAAGAGGUGUGACUGUUUUAAGGAGAAAAAAAAGAUGGUGUCACAAAUUAAGAAAAGAAAGGGGGAAAAAAGCCAGAAAAAUAAAGAGAAAGGGAAAAAGGAGAGUUAGUUGAACGAAAGUUGAUCUGUGAUCCAAUUGAGCUGAAAUUUUAUCAGCAGAUUUAUGAUUCAAAGUUCUACAUUUUAAACGGUGAAGAUCGGGUUUUAAGCUCUCUAUGAAUAAAUUCAAGUGUAUUUGUUGAGUUACCUAUUUUGUAAGAUUUCUCUAAUUAUCUUUUUAGUUGUUGAUUAGCUCUAGUUUUAACUAGAGAACUUUUGUAUAUCCAUUAUUUGAUAGCGGAGAUUUUUCUGGUGAUCUAUGAUUUUUUCUCUUCACACAUGAGGGUUUUCCACAUAAAUCUUGGUGUGCUUUAUUUUUUCUGUGUUUUUUAUUAUUGAUUGUUAUUUAUUGUUGUGGAUUUAAUGUGAUAUAUUGCUUCUGCAUUGUUGUGUUUAUUGCUUUAGGCCCAACAAAUGCCUCCCUGAAAAAUAAGGAGGAAAACAAUAUUUCAUAUACAAUGUUAAGGGCACAUUGAGGAAGAAAUAUUCAUGCACUUUGUGCUUCUAAGAUAGCAUUAAAAUCCUCCCUAGCCUUACGCAAGCGAGGUGUGAUGCAAGCAGCAGGUGAGGCAGGGUAUGAGGUCGGGGAUGAUGUAGAAAACCUGACAUGGCGAGAUGAUUCAUGGGAUUUCCUGCCUGUUGCUCUUGUUUGAGUUGAACCAUUUUUCAGGACUCCUUUUUUAUCUUUAUUAUCAAACACGAAAGCUGAAGAAACCUGUAAAUGUGCAUCGUUUCCAAGAUUUUUGAUCAACUCCAAUGGCAGAUCAAAGUAGGGAUUCAUGGAGUCUCCAUCCCCAUCAUGGACUGGUAUCACAGUUGAUGAAGCCCAGGAUCCGCAUUCGAACUUUUCCAGGGAAACCUGUUCUGGAUAUCACAUUAUUCUCCAUGAACAUUGCUUCUGUCUUUCUUGGCCUCACUAUCUUUGCCUUACCGAUGCCUGGUAAGAACAAGCAAAGGGCGCAGCAUUUGAAGUCAACUUCAUUACCGUCCAUCUUCUGACUGCUCUUUCGACGACCAUCAUUGUUAACAUUGAGAUUAGAGAUUAAACAGCAAUGACCAUGGUGCUUGUUCUUGUUUUGAAGGGCGUUUGCGUCGUACAGCCAAGGAUCAUCAAGUUCAUCUGGAAGGGCACAUUUUCUUGCUUCUCUACAAGACUUGCUUCUCCAAAACUGGUUGUCUUUCAGCUGAGACUGAUGAUGUUGUGUAGCAGAUGAGUGCUUGUUGACCAACUUGUCAACCUGUCGGGGCGAUGCUUGACUUUCAUUUUUCAAGUUCUUCCUUGACAGAAUUGAGCCAAACCGAGGAGAAGAGGUUGCAGAGUUGGGAAGGCUACAACUUUAAAACUUCUGCUUUGCAGGGAGCAAAGGGGGUGGGAGAGAGACAGCAGAAUCGCCUUGAGGUGCAUUAAUAGGAAGUAACAUCAUGUUGAAACUUAUUUCUCCCAUGGAUGAUUCUCUCAAUGAUAUUGGAUCAACAGAUGUCUGUUUUUCCUUUUUCUCCAGGGUACUUUUCAGUCCUUCAAUUGAAAUGAAGUCAAGCUCAUGUGGAUCCUUGUAAAUUUCAUCAAGUUGUGGAGCAAAGUUGUUUGUUGUGGGAACUACUUUUGAAAUCGGAAGUGCCAUGGAAUUAAAAAGAAACGACCUGUAAGGAUGAAACAAGAGCUCCCCCAGCUGCUUAAAUUAAGAAGGAAGAAUGAGCAUGGAUUUGGACGUGGAUAGCACAUAUAACUAGAGCAUCGCAGUGGUGAUUUGCAUGUCCCAAACAGAAUUAGUUUAUCUUUACAACCACUCUACAACAGCUGACUUUGUUAAAUUAGAAAAUAAUAAGAAGAAAAAUUAUCCUAGUGCUUAUGUCACGGACCUAAGAAAGAGUCCUGAUUCCACAUCGAACAUAAUAGGAGGGUCAAUGCGAUAUAAAAUGAUUCACACCACCUCUUCCUUGUGAGAAACUUUUUGUAGAACAAAACCGUGUGGCCAAGAGGCUAGAGCGGAUAAUACCUCACAAGGGUGUGAACCGUGGUAGGUAGGCUGAUCUGAAAUAUCGGAUGAGUGAAUGCCCGGGUCCCGAAGUCGCGCGGGUUCAGAGCUUAAGUCUCGACCCGUGACAAGUAGUAUCAAAGCCAACCCUAAAUCGUUUGACUCACGCCAAACGCCUUGAGGGAGGUAGGCAAGAUGGCUAGCUGAAUCCCACAUCGAACAUAAUACCCUUUUGUAGGCUGAUUUGGGAUGUCGAAAGAGUACAUAUUCAGAUCCCAGAGUCGCGCAAAUUGAAACUUAAAUUUCGACCCGUGACACUUGCAUGUCCAUAUUUGCUCUCUCAAUUCAAAAGCAAUUCUAUUCAGCCUUAAUUCUAUGCAUCCUCAACCACUUCACCACUCGAACAAAUUUUAUUCUUCUUCUAUUUUCUCCUUAUGCGCUAAAGUGGCCUAAGAGGUUCUUUGACUCUUCGAAUAUUUCUGAAAAUGCUUGUCUAGAAUUUCCUGUUAUUUUGUACCAGCGGGAUGAAAUGACAUAUUACCAUUGUCUAGAAUUUCCUGUUAUAAGGUUUGUUAUGGUCCAUUUACCCUCGAUUUAAUAAUAAUAAUAAUCUAUUUUUAAAGGUGGGAAACGUUGAGACUUAGAGUGGGAAGUAACAUUGGUUGUUGUGGUCCUUUUACUGUCAUUUUCUUAAUUUCUUUUGGGUUUUUAAACCUCAUUUCAAACGGUGUCCUUUCUGGUCUGAUGGAUUGCUGAAUUUGAGCAGGUUAUGAGGAUGGGCGUGGAGGUUUGCUAGCUUCAACCUUUUGUCCAUGCUCUCUAUAUAUUCUCUUCAUAGUUUAUUCAAUUAUGGCAACAACGAAGAUUGUAGAGUUCAUUGUCAUGUUUAUACCUCUUUUGUGGUUUCCUUUCUUUUAUAAUUAAACAGAGAAUAUAUAGUGAUUUCUUCAACUUACCCCUAAUUAAUACGCCCAUUUUUUAAAAUUAAUUUUGUAACUUG